rnacentral:rRNA from 1 species
AUCAUUCAACCAAUCAGCUCUGCGGUCUGUCACCGCGCUACCGUACGCAACACUGCGGAGUGUGUCGGUGGUGGUCACUGCUGGGUGGAGCUAGGCCUGUGUGAUUGGUGCAUUUGAUGGCGGUAUGCGCCGAGAGCCGCGUCGCAGUGUGCGUCAAUGUCUGUUUGGUGCAGUGGACCGUUGUACGUCUUUGCGGACGGGCGGAAACCUGCAUUCGACCGAGGCGUAUCACUGAUGCGGUGAACAGCCGUGUACAGCAGUCCCCCCGCACGCUACGUGCGGCGCGUCGUGCAAUCGUCGGACUGGCCGUGCGGCGGUGCGCACUGUGCAUUUCGGUGCGCAGUGCGUCCGCCUGCGGUCUGGCCGCGGUGGCUUGAACGCGUUGGGACUGUGUCUCGGUGUGAGUGUCGAUCACCUAUUCGACCCGUCUUGAAACACGGACCAAGGAGUCUAGCAUAUGCGCAAGUUAUUGGGUGGUAAACCCGUAGAAAACGCAAUGAAAGUGAAAUCGGCCGUUCCGACGGUCGCAAACUGUGAGCCCGUCGACUCCGACUGGCGCAACAGUGCCCCGUCUCGGUUGCCGUUGGCAACGGGGCGGAGGUAGAGCGCAUAUGCUGGGACCCGAAAGAUGGUGAACUAUGCCUGAGCAGGAUGAAGCCAGAGGAAACUCUGGUGGAGGUCCGAAGCGAUUCUGACGUGCAAAUCGAUCGUCUGACUUGGGUAUAGGGGCGAAAGACUAAUCGAACCAUCUAGUAGCUGGUUCCCUCUGAAGUUUCCCCCAGGAUAGCUGGAGCACGUAACCGAGCAGUUAUAUUCGGUAAAGCGAAUGAUUAGACGUAUUGGGGACGAAACGUCCUCAACCUAUUCUCAAACUUUCAAUGGGUAUGAUGUCCCGCUUGCUUAAAUUGUGAAGUGUGGACACUGGAAUGUGUGCUCCAAGUGGGCCAUUUUUGGUAAGCAGAACUGGCGCUGUGGGAUGAACCAAACGUCGAGAUAAAGUGCCAAACUUCCUGCUCAUGAGACCCCAUGAAAGGCGUUGGUUGAUACAGACAGCAGGACGGUGGCCAUGGAAGUCGGAAGCCGCUAAGGAGUGUGUAACAACUCACCUGCCGAAUCAACUAGCCCUGAAAAUGGAUGGCGCUUGAGCUGGAGACUUAUACUCGACCGUUGCACGGCUUGUGCACAGGCUGGAAAUCGCAGAGAACCAGACGAUGCCUGGCCGCAACGAGUAAGAGGGUCGCGGUGGUUUGCGUCGAAGACUUUGGGCGUAGGCCCGGUUGGAGCAUCCACUGGUGCAGAUCUUGGUGGUAGUAGCAAAUAUUCAAGUGAGAUCCUUGAAGACUGAAGUGGAGAAGGGUUCCUCGUGAACAGCAGUUGGAUGCGGGUCAGUCGAUCCUAAGAUACCGGCUAAUGCCGUCCACUCAUCUGAGAUUUGGAGUUCAAAUCCAUCUCGGCAAUCGAAAGGGAAACGGGUUUAUAUUCCCGUACCUGGACACGGAGAUUGGGCACCCAUUGCGGGUGCUCAGCGCGGCAACGCAAACGAACUCGGAGACGUUGCACAGGGCCCGAGCCAGAGUUCUCUUUUCUGGUUAAGGAACGGACUCCCUGGAAUCGAUUCAUUCGGCGAUAGGGACGUUGUUUCCGUAAAGCGUCACGGUUACUGUGGCGUCUCGUGCGCUCUGUGUGACCCAUGAAAAUCCGAGCAAGGCUAUUUGAAUUUCGUGCCAGAUCGUACCGAUAUCCGCAGCAGGUCUCCAAGGUGAACAGCCUCUAGUCGAUAGAAUAAUGUAGGUAAGGGAAGUCGGCAAACUAGAUCCGUAACUUCGGGAAAAGGAUUGGCUCUAAGGACUGGGCCGGUCGGGCUGCAGCGCGAAGUGGGCUCGGUUUAGCGCGUGCAGUGCGACACCGGUGCGUGUGGGCGUUGCACAUCCUUGUGGUGUGUGCGUGCACGUGUCGCCGGUGGAGCUCGGCUAGCGUUCCAGACUGUCCCAGGGACCGCGGCAGCUGUGCACCGUUGCGGCCACAAGCCGUGGCGGCGCUUCGUCCGGCGCUAAACAGUCAGCUUAGAACUGGCACGGACUCGGGGAAUCCGACUGUCUAAUUAAAACAGAGGAGACAGAUGGUCCUUGCGGACGUUGACUGUCUCUGAUUUCUGCCCAGUGCUCUGAAUGUAAAAGUGAAGAAAUUCAACCAAGCGCGGGUAAACGGCGGGAGUAACUAUGACUCUCUUAAGGUAGCCAAAUGCCUCGUCAUCCAAUUAGUGACGCGCAUGAAUGGAUUAUCGAGAUUCCUACUGUCCCUAUCUACUAUCUAGCGAAACCACAGCCAAGGGAACGGGCUUGGCAAACACAGCGGGGAAAGAAGACCCUGUUGAGCUUGACUCUAGUCCGACUCUGUGAAGAGUCAUGAGAGGUGUAGCAUAAGUGGGAGGUCUCGCGACCACCAGUGAAAUACCACUACUUUCAUCGAUUCUUUACUUAUUCGGUAAGACGAGAAUUGAACCGAAGCGGUUCUUGAUUCUGGUGACAAGUGCGGCCGCUUGGUGGCCGCACGACUCGCGCCGAAGACAGUGUCAGGCGGGGAGUUUGACUGGGGCGGUACAUCUGUCAAACGAUAACGCAGGUGUCCUAAGGCAAGCUCAGAGAGGACGGAAACCUCUCGUAGAGUAAAAGGGCAAAAGCUCGCUUGAUCCAGAUUUCCAGUACGAAUACAGACCGCGAAAGCGAGGCCUAUCGAUCCUUUUGAAUUAGAAGGUCUCUAGCAAGAGGUGUCAGAAAAGUUACCACAGGGAUAACUGGCUUGUGGCAGCCAAGCGUCCA